rnacentral:rRNA from 1 species
UACGAAGGGUGCGAGCGUUAUUCGGAAUCACUGGGCGUAAAGGGUGCGUAGACGGUAUGUUAAGUUUGUCGUUAAAGACUCUAGCCUAACUGGAGGGUUGCGAUGAAAACUGGCAAGCUAGAGGGUGAGAGAGAGAAGUGGAAUUCCCGGAGUAGCGGUAAAAUGCGUGGAUCUCGGGAGGAACACCAAUGGCGAAGGCAGCUUCUUGGCUCAUUCCUGACGUUGAGGCACGAAAGCGUGGGGAGCGAACAGG